AGUCCAUAUCUGGAAGGCGGUCACUUGCAGAAGUAUUGUUCGGUGAAAUUGACGAGCAUUCAGAACAUUAUAAGGAGUCUUUAUUGAGAGGCUCUUCAAUACAUAAAAUGAUCAGAUUGAUCACGUUAACAAUUGGCGGCCGUGCAUAUAUGAACUUCAUGGGCAAUGAAUUUGGGCAUCCAAAGAGAGUUGAGUUUCCAACGUCAAGCAACGACUACUCAUAUUCAUUUG